UACGGAGGAUCCAAGCGUUAUCCGGAAGUCAUUGGGUUUAAAGGGUCCGUAGGCGGUUUGGUAAGUCAGUGGUGAAAGCCAUCGCUCAACGGUGGAACGGCCAUUGAUACUGCCAGACUUGAAUUAUUAGGAAGUAACUAGAAUAUGGUAGUGUAGCGGUGAAAUGCUUAGAGAUUACAUGGAAUACCAAUUGCGAAGGCAGGUUACUACUAAUGGAUUGACGCUGGAUGACGAAAGCGUGGGUAGCGAACAGG
rnacentral:rRNA from 1 species